UGUCACUAUAAGUAAAAUCUGCUCCAUCUCAUAAAUAGCCGCAGAAUUUUACCUGUGCUAAGGUAGCAUAAUCAUUUACCUUUUAAUUAAAGGUCUGUAUGAAUGAUUUAACAUUUAAAUUACUUUUUUACUAACUUCAAUUAAAUUUAUACUAAACAUAAAAAUGUUUUAUCCAGCAAAAAGACGACAAGACCCUACUGAACUUUACCAAUGUUUAGCUGGGGAAGCUAAUUAAAUAUAAUUUUAAUUAAUUUCUUAUAAUAAUUUCUGAAACAUUCAAAUUUAACAAGUUACCAUAGGGAUAACAGCGUAAUAAUUUUUAAAAGCUCUUAUUAAAAAAAAAGAUUACGACCUCGAUGUUGAAUUAGAAUUACUUUAAACCGCAAUAGUGCUAAAAGUAGGUCUGUUCGACCUUUAAUUUUCUACA
rnacentral:rRNA from 1 species